AUUGAACGCUGGCGGCAGGCUUAACACAUGCAAGUCGAGCGGAGUGAUGGUGCUUGCACUAUCACUUAGCGGCGGACGGGUGAGUAAUGCUUAGGAAUCUGCCUAUUAGUGGGGGACAACAUCUCGAAAGGGAUGCUAAUACCGCAUACGUCCUACGGGAGAAAGCAGGGGAUCACUUGUGACCUUGCGCUAACAGAUGAGCCGAAGUCGGAGUAGCUAGUUGGUGGGGUAAAGGCCUACCAAGGCGACGAUCUGUAGCGGGUCUGAGAGGAUGAUCCGCCACACUGGGACUGAGACACGGCCCAGACUCCUACGGGAGGCAGCAGUGGGGAAUAUUGGACAAUGGGGGGAACCCUGAUCCAGCCAUGCCGCGUGUGUGAAGAAGGCCUUAUGGUUGUAAAGCACUUUAAGCGAGGAGGAGGCUCUUUUGGUUAAUACCCAAGAUGAGUGGACGUUACUCGCAGAAUAAGCACCGGCUAACUCUGUGUCAGCCGCCGCAGUAA
rnacentral:rRNA from 1 species